UCUCGAUAGCGUAAAAGUUAAUUCAAAAUUGUAUGGAGCUGGAGAGGUUGCCUACGCUUGCCGCUUGGGGCGCUGUUCCAACUGUAUACAAAGUUUAGUUAACUUUUACGCUAUCGA
rnacentral:pre_miRNA from 9 species